CACAACUUUAUUUUAGCUAUCGAGUAUAGGUUAGGUUCCCCAUUUUUUACAGGGAACCUAACCUUGAACCUGAUUUUGAAACUCACUUGUGUUUUAGAUAAUCAAACUAGGAAAUAAAACAAUUCACUCUAUGGACCCUAUGAGAGAACAGAUAAAUUCCAUCAAAAGGAGAAGUUUAAUGGAAUAGUUGUUACUUACAACAAAGAUAAGGUGUUUCAGAAAAGUUUGAAAUAUUAACAUUUCCACAUGCCAUACAAGCUGAAGGUAUAACAUUUGGAGUAUUCUGCUUUAAGUUAUACAAACGGAGAAGUAUUGGUGUGUGUCUUUCCACAUGAAGAAGUUAAUGCAUACAGAAAGAGAGAAAAAGGAGGUCACAAAAGUUGGCAGAAUAGUUUGUGUCGCAUUUGUGGAAGUGAAAUUGGUCCAAAAACUAGAAAAAAUCAAAAAAAGGUUAAACAGAUCAAAUGUGAUAUUUGCAUCCAAAUCGAUGGUACCGUAUGAGAUGCAUUGUUUUUAGAAAUGAAACUUUAUUUUGUUGUGAACAUAUUUAUAUAUAAAUGUAAUAAUAAAUAAAACUUUAAAAAUUGCA
rnacentral:lncRNA from 1 species